UGCGGCUGACAAGCCCGAGGUUGGAUACGCGGUGACCACGCACUGGAGCUGGCCAACGCCUGGCUACAACCUCGCUGAAAAUUGGCUGAAACCAGCCAAUAGUCCUAGUUACAACCAUAGUGGAAUUUUGCUGCAACCUGAUUAGUCCCUUUAAUGGUCCAAUUAAGGAGCAGAAAGGAUUCUUACCUUUUCGCCAAAGGUAACCCUGAGUUAUGAAACCCAUGAGAGGAAGUCACCGUUGAAGUCACAGGUUUCUACCAAGCUUUUGCAAGAUCAAAAUCAAGUUGACACAUCAAACACUUAUAAUAAUAAAAAUAGGUAUGGAUAUGAGCACUAUUCUUACAACCAUAUAUUUGUGAAUGAGAUCAUUACAAUGUUAGUUUGUGCCCUACAAAUCAUCCAUCGAGAUGUGCUUACGACAUAUCAAAGUGAGGAAUGUGUCCAAAUUACGUAUUGAUUGGCAUGGGUCCUCCAUCAGGAGUCAGUUGUCCAACCAAAAGGCCCUAUCCAUAGCACGGGGUUGCCCCGAUCAUUAAGAUAGAAAUUAGACAAAAGUGUUGGCGUUUAAUGACCACACCUCUUGUAUCCCCAGGGAUAGGAUCCGCGUUACGGUACUAAACCUUUUUGUCACUAGUGUUCAGAUUAACACUUCAUGGUCUUCGUGCCCUUAGCCUCUUCGUGGCUCGCUCUCCAUGAUCCUGGGUACCUGCAGGGACGAAGAACACGAACGAGACAAGAGACAAUGAUGAAGCAAUUUUAUGUUACAUAUACGAGACGUUAAUUCAAAGGACUUCCAUCAAUCCCCUCCAAAAAAUACACCGGGUGUAGGGCUAUGCCUCAACCCAUAAUCUUACGAAACUACUCACACAUGAAGAUCAUAUCACAAGGACAAAUCAUUGAAGAACACAUCAUGAAGAUUGUUUGAUUGAUAAUAUGUCUUACAGUAGAUGCUGGAUGUGAUACACGAUUACAAAGUAUGGGUAGUUGGCUGAGUACUACGGUGGUGGACAUGAUGGAGGCUAUGGAGAUGUAGAUGGGAAAUAGCGGUGACUAGGGUUGCUGUGUAUGACGAAGACGGAG
rnacentral:lncRNA from 1 species